rnacentral:rRNA from 1 species
GAGGAAUAUUGGUCAAUGGGCGAGAGCCUGAACCAGCCAAGUAGCGUGCAGGAUGACGGCCCUCCGGGUUGUAAACUGCUUUUAGUUGGGAAUAAAAAAAGGGACUUGUCCCUUCUUGUAUGUACCUUCAGAAAAAGGACCGGCUAAUUCCGUGCCAGCAGCCGCGGUAAUACGGAAGGUCCAGGCGUUAUCCGGAUUUAUUGGGUUUAAAGGGAGCGUAGGCGGAUUGUUAAGUCAGCGGUUAAAGGGUGUGGCUCAACCAUGCAUUGCCGUUGAAACUGGCGAUCUUGAGUGCAGACAGGGAUGCCGGAAUUCGUGGUGUAGCGGUGAAAUGCUUAGAUAUCACGAAGAACUCCGAUCGCGAAGGCAGGUGUCCGGGCUGCAACUGACGCUGAGGCUCGAAAGUGUGGGUAUCAAACAGGAUUAGAUACCCUGGUAGUCCACGCAGUAAACGAUGUAUACUCGCGGUUUGCGAUAGACAGUAAGCCGCCAAGCGAAAGCAUUAAGUAUACCACCUGGGGAGUACGCCGGCAACGGUG